GACCACACUGUGUCACACCCCAAACAGAUGCAUCUGGCAGACCAUGGAUGAUAAAAAUGUCACAGUGCUGGGUGAAACAGGUCUUGAGCUGAAGUGACGUGACUUAUCCCCUACAAACUAUGCCCACAGCCAGGGAAAGUGUGGGCUUUGCCUUGGCAUCCCCAGCUAAAGAUUCCCUCUAAUCCCUUGCUGGACUGUACCUUCUGACUGGUUUCUACAUCUCCAUUCUGAUUUCCUGGAACAGCUUGGCUGUAGCUGGUGCUCCUGAGACAGUGAUAGGAAUGUGGGAAGCUUUGCAGCAGGACAAUGCACAUCUCCCAGCUCAUGCUGCAUUUAGGGACAGCACAGCCUAAGCCAGCCAUGCUCCAGCAGUGCCCACCAUGGCAGGAAGUUAACAGGGAUGUCACUGAGCCCAGAUCCAGCAUCCAGCUGCACAGCAGGAAGAAACGCCAAGCUAUGAAGCUGAUGGCAGAGCUACAGGCUGGAACAGAGCUCUGAGGAAGCACCUGAGACCAGACAGAGUAGGAACAAGGGACAUCACAGGACCUGCCUUGGAGUGCCCUCCCUUCCUCCAAGUGUGACUGAGAGAUUAAGCUGAGAUUCACCAGAUUAUACUGGUGCAAACGUC